UACGAAGGUCCCGAGCGUUGUUCGGAAUCACUGGGCGUAAAGGGAGCGUAGGCGGCGUGGUAAGUCAGACGUGAAAUCCCGGGGCUCAACCCCGGAACUGCGUCCGAUACUGCCGUGCUUAGAGGGUUGGAGAGGUAGCUGGAAUUCUUGGUGUAGCAGUGAAAUGCGUGGAUAUCAAGAGGAACACUCGUGGCGAAAGCGAGCUACUGGACAACACCUGACGCUGAGGCUCGAAGGCCAGGGGAGCGAAAGGG
rnacentral:rRNA from 1 species